rnacentral:sRNA from 1 species
GCUGGGUACAGUGGCAUACCCCUGUAAUCCCAGUAACUCUGGAAGCUGAGGCAGGAGGAUCACAAGUUUCAGGUCAGCCUCAGCAACUUAGUGAGACCCUGUCUCAA